rnacentral:tRNA from 1 species
AAAGAUUUAGUUUUAAAAAAAACGUUUAAUUGUCAAUUGAAAAUUACUUAAUUAGUAAUCUUU